GACGAACGCUGGCGGCGUGCUUAACACAUGCAAGUCGAACGGAAAGGCCCUGCUUUUGUGGGGUGCUCGAGUGGCGAACGGGUGAGUAACACGUGAGUAACCUGCCCUUGACUUUGGGAUAACUUCAGGAAACUGGGGCUAAUACCGGAUAGGAGCUCCUGCUGCAUGGUGGGGGUUGGAAAGUUUCGGCGGUUGGGGAUGGACUCGCGGCUUAUCAGCUUGUUGGUGGGGUAGUGGCUUACCGAGGCUUUGACGGGUAGCCGGCCUGAGAGGGUGACCGGCCACAUUGGGACUGAGAUACGGCCCAGACUCAUACGGGAGGCAGCAGUGGGAAUAUUGCACAAUGGGCGGAAGCCUGAUGCAGCAACGCCGCGUGCGUGAUGACGGCCUUCGGGUUGUAAACCGCUUUCGCCUGUGACGAAGAGUGAGUGACGGUAAUGGGUAAAGAAGCACCGGCUAACUACGUG
rnacentral:rRNA from 1 species